rnacentral:rRNA from 1 species
UACGGAGGGUGCAAGCGUUAAUCGGAAUUACUGGGCGUAAAGCGUGCGCAGGCGGUUUGUUAAGUCCGCUGUGAAAUCCCCGAGCUCAACUUGGGAAUUGCAGUGGAUACUGGCAAGCUGGAGUAUGGUAGAGGAAGGUGGAAUUCCCGGUGUAGCAGUGAAAUGCGUAGAGAUCGGGAGGAACACCAGUGGCGAAGGCGGCCUUCUGGACCAAUACUGACGCUGAUGCACGAAAGCGUGGGGAGCAAACAGG